rnacentral:rRNA from 1 species
UGGGGAAUCUUGGACAAUGGGCGCAAGCCUGAUCCAGCAAUGCCGCGUGGGUGAAGACGGCCUGCGGGUUGUAAAGCCCUUUUGGCGGGGAAGAAAGCCCUGGGUCGAACAGACUCAGGGGGUGACGUUACCCGCUGAAGAAGCACCGGCCAACUCCGUGCCAGCAGCCGCGGUAAUACGGAGGGUGCGAGCGUUAAUCGGAAUUACUGGGCGUAAAGCGCGCGUAGGCGGUUACUCAAGUCAGUUGUGAAAGCCCUGGGCUCAACCUGGGAAUGGCGAUUGAGACUGAGUGACUGGAGUGUAACAGAGGACCGUGGAAUUCCCGGUGUAGCGGUGAAAUGCGUAGAGAUCGGGAAGAACACCGAUGGCGAAGGCAGCGGUCUGGGUUAACACUGACGCUGAGGUGCGAAAGCGUGGGGAGCAAACAGG